rnacentral:rRNA from 1 species
GUGUCAGCAGCCGCGGUAAGACGAACCGUCCAAACGUUAUUCGGAAUCACUGGGCUUAAAGGGUGCGUAGGCGGCGCGGAAAGUUGGGUGUGAAAUCCCUCGGCUCAACCGAGGAAUUGCGCCCAAAACUUCCGUGCUCGAGGAAGAUAGAGGUGAGCGGAACUUAGGGUGGAGCGGUGAAAUGCGUUGAUAUCCUAAGGAACACCGGUGGCGAAAGCGGCUCACUGGAUCUUUUCUGACGCUGAGGCACGAAAGCUAGGGUAGCGAACGGGAUUAGAUACCCCGGUAGUCC